GACGAACGCUGGCGGCGUGCUUAACACAUGCAAGUCGAACGGAAAGGCCCUGCUUUUGUGGGGUGCUCGAGUGGCGAACGGGUGAGUAACACGUGAGUAACCUGCCCUUGACUUUGGGAUAACUUCAGGAAACUGGGGCUAAUACCGGAUAGGAGCCCCUGCUGCAUGGUGGGGGUUGGAAAGUUUCGGCGGUUGGGGAUGGACUCGCGGCUUAUCAGCUUGUUGGUGGGGUAGUGGCUUACCAAGGCUUUGACGGGUAGCCGGCCUGAGAGGGUGACCGGCCACAUUGGGACUGAGAUACGGCCCAGACUCCUACGGGAGGCAGCAGUGGGGAAUAUUGCACAAUGGGCGGAAGCCUGAUGCAGCAACGCCGCGUGCGGGAUGACGGCCUUCGGGUUGUAAACCGCUUUCGCCAGUGACGAAGCGUGAGUGACGGUAAUGGGUAAAGAAGCACCGGCUAACUACGUG
rnacentral:rRNA from 1 species